AACAUCGCGCACCUGCGGGAACCUGCGGAAGUAUCAUUACAGAGUUGCAAAACUCCCUAAACCAUUGUGAACGUUACCUAAACCGUUGCUUCGGCGGGCGGCCCGGGUCCUUCCCGGCGCCCAUCGGCCCUCGCGGGCGCCCGCCGGAGGUAAACCAAACUAUUGCAUUGUAUGGCCUCUCUGAGUCUUCUGUACUGAAUAAGUCAAAACUUUCAACAACGGAUCUCAGAUCGGAAGAGC
rnacentral:misc_RNA from 1 species